GACGAACGCUGGCGGCGUGCUUAACACAUGCAAGUGGAGCGACGAACCAGGGCUUGCCCUGGGGCAGAGCCGCGAACGGGUGAGUAACACGUGGGUAACCUACCCCGAUGAUCGGGACAACCCGGGGAAACUCGGGCUAAUACCGAAUGUGCCUUCAGUUCAUGAGGACUGAAAGUAAAGAUAGCUUCGGCCUUCGCAUCGGGACGGGCCCGCGGCCCAUUAGCUUGUUGGUGAGGUAACGGCUCACCAAGGCGACGAUGGGUAGCUGGUCUGAGAGGACGAUCAGCCACACUGGGACUGAGACACGGCCCAGACUCCUACGGGAGGCAG
rnacentral:rRNA from 1 species